AUUGAACGCUGGCGGCAGGCCUAACACAUGCAAGUCGAGCGAGCGGCGGACGGGUGCGUAAUGUAUGGGGACUGCCCGUUAGCGGGGGAUAACUACUGGAUACGGUGGCUAAUACCGCAUACUGUCGGCUACCCCAUAUGGGAUUGGCUAGGAGGUAAGGUAAUGGCUUACCUAGGCGACGAUCCCUAGCUGGGCUGAGAGGAUGAUCAGCCACACUGGGACUGAGACACGGCCCAGACUCCCACGGAGGCAGCAGUGGGGAAUCUUUCGCAAUGGACGAAAGUCUGACGGAGCAAAGCCGCGGGAGUGAUGACGGGCUUCGGGUUGUAAAGAUCUGUUAAUCGGGAGACGGUACCGGAAUAGAAAGCCACGGCUAACUACGUGCCAGCAGCCGCGGUAAUAC
rnacentral:rRNA from 1 species